rnacentral:rRNA from 1 species
GACAUUGUUUACAAACUUCUCAAAUUAGUGCUAGUUCUUCUUGUUCCAACGGCCGGUGUUGAGAGUGUCUUUUCAUCAAUGAACUAUAUAAAAAACAAGCUAAGAAGAAGAUGGAGCAAAAAUACUUGA